GAUGAACGCUGGCGGCGUGCUUAACACAUGCAAGUCGAACGGAGAUAUCAUUUUCGAAGCGAUUAGUUUACUAAGAGCGGAGAUGUUGCUAUCUUAGUGGCGGACGGGUGAGUAACGCGUGGGUAACCUGCCUUACACUGGGGGAUAACACUUAGAAAUAGGUGCUAAUACCGCAUAACAGUAGGAGACGCAUGUCUUUUACUUGAAAAUUCCGGUGGUGUAAGAGGGACCCGCGUCUGAUUAGCUUGUUGGCGGGGUAACGGCCCACCAAGGCAACGAUCAGUAGCCGGCCUGAGAGGGUGAACGGCCACAUUGGGACUGAGACACGGCCCAA
rnacentral:rRNA from 1 species